rnacentral:rRNA from 1 species
GAGAUGUUGGGUUAAGUCCCGCAACGAGCGCAACCCUUUUCCUUAUUUGCCAGCGGGUUAAGCCGGGAACUUUAAGGAUACUGCCAGUGACAAACUGGAGGAAGGCGGGGACGACGUCAAGUCAUCAUGGCCCUUAUGGCCUGGGCUACACACGUGCUACAAUGGCAAGUACAAAGGGUUGCUAACUCGCGAGAGUGUGCUAAUCCCAUAAAGCUUGUCGUAGUCCGGAUCGCAGUCUGCAACUCGACUGCGUGAAGUCGGAAUCGCUAGUAAUCGCGGAUCAGAAUGCCGCGGUGAAUACGUUCCCGGGCCUUGUACACACCGC